AGAAGCAUAUAAAAAAGGGAAGACUAUAAAUUUGAAACAUACUUACCUGGACGGGGUUUAUGGGUGAUCAAGAAGGCCCAUUGCCUAGGUUGGUGACUUCCAUUGCACUUGGGAAGGGUGCCCGCUUAACAUCUCCCCAAGUGGGAGAGUGUACGUCAUAAUUUGUGAGUGUACGUCAUAAUUUGUGGCAGAGGGGUACGCGUUCGCGCGGCCCCUAC